rnacentral:tRNA from 1 species
GGACUCUUAACUCAGAAGGUCAGAGUAGCACACUCAUAAUGUGAAGGUCGUAGGUUCAAGCCCUACAGGGUCCA